AUGGCUUCAACGAGACCUGUUGAUGUGUGUCGUGCUUGUGGGGGAAACUAUCCCUGUAAGAGUUACAAACAUAAUCUUUUUAUUGCCAAGACGUCGGAGCGAUAUGAUUAUGCUAUGGCACUAGAGGAGAUAACUGGUCGCAUCGUUGAGGGGGAUGAUCUUCCUAAGGCAGUCUGUGGAAAGUGUCGGACACUUUUAACAAGGUACUACAAAAGUAGUAACGAAGUGGCGAGAGUUGGGAAUUUAUUUCGGGAACGAGCCUGUACUGUAGCCUCGCUUUUUAGGCCUACCACCCCUGUACAAGUGGAUCGAGAUUUUGCUUCAGUCGACAUCAUUUUGGAGUCGCAGUCCGACGAUGUUUCGAGUUCAGAAUUCACAAACAAAAAGACCACCAUGGUGCUUGUGCAGAGUCAAACAUCACGCAAGACUCGCAUCGUCACUGGUCCCAUGGAGAAGGUUGUGGAGAACAUCGUACGAGGACGGUUUCACAGCUUACCAAAGGCAGUGAUGGAUGUACCUACUUUGGCUCCCCUGGUCAUUAAAGAAGUUUUAAAGCGUGUUGACAAAGAAUGCCACGCCAUUACCAGCUUUGAAUUCAACUCUAUACUGCGACAGACCAGUCCUUCUGCUCUAAAAGACUUUACUUGGGACAAGGUUUUAGAAGAAUGGAGGACAAAUGCUCCAACUUUCAUGAGUUUCCUGGAGACUGCAAGCACAUUUGUAAAGACUCAAAAUAAGAAAACACCAAAAGCACACAGAAAGAAAUGCACAAUGGCCAUGGCUGGUUCAAGUCUUCUUCAGGCUCGCUGCAGAGCACGAGUAAUAAGCUGA
rnacentral:lncRNA from 1 species